CAAGCAGUAAAGCAAGUGCUGAGUGAAACCAAUAUACCCCUUGUAGGGUAUACAAAAUCGAAACACUUCAAAAAUGUUGAUUUUUGAUUCAUUGGCGGAUUAUUGUCGAUUUUGCAAACUGAAAUGGAAGUACAAUGCAUUAAUAGCUGACAAAUGCAAAUUUUUUGGUUUGCUGGAAAACUCAUUUUCCGCUUAUUACAAAGGCAGCGGUCCGCGCACUGCGACGAUGGAAUCGCGAAUGCGACGGAGCCCAAGCACCGAAAUAAGUUUGCUGUUUGGUGUGUUUGGUGUGGGCAUGCUGUGGGUUAGUGGGUAUGGUAUGGGGCUAUGGGGCU